CUACGGGCGGCUCCAGUGGGGAAUAUUGGGCAAUGGGCGCAAGCCUGACCCAGCAACGCCGCGUGAAGGAUGAAGGUUUUCGGAUUGUAAACUUCUUUUGUCAGGGAAGAUAAUGACGGUACCUGACGAAUAAGCCACGGCUAACUACGUGCCAGCAGCCGCGGUAAUACGUAGGUGGCAAGCGUUGUCCGGAUUUACUGGGUGUAAAGGGCGUGUAGGCGGGACUGCAAGUCAGAUGUGAAAACUAUGGGCUCAACCCAUAGCCUGCAUUUGAAACUGUAGUUCUUGAGUGAUGGAGAGGCAGGCGGAAUUCCUAGUGUAGCGGUGAAAUGCGUAGAUAUUAGGAGGAACACCAGUGGCGAAGGCGGCCUGCUGGACAUUAACUGACGCUGAGGCGCGAAAGCGUGGGGAGCAAACAGGAUUAGAUACCCCGGUAGUC
rnacentral:rRNA from 1 species